rnacentral:rRNA from 1 species
AUUGAACGCUGGCGGCAGGCCUAACACAUGCAAGUCGAACGAGUGGCGGACGGGUGAGUAAUGUCUGGGAAACUGCCCGAUGGAGGGGGAUAACUACUGGAAACGGUAGCUAAUACCGCAUACCAUCGGAUGUGCCCAGAGGGGAUUAGGUAGUGGGGGGGGUAAAGGCUCACCUAGGCGACGAUCCCUAGCUGGUCUGAGAGGAUGACCGGCCACACUGGAACUGAGACACGGCCCAGACUCCUACGGGAGGCAGCAGUGGGGAAUAUUGCGCAAUGGGCGCAAGCCUGACGCAGCCAUGCCGCGUGAAUGAAGAAGGCCUUCGGGUUGUAAAGUACUGUCGGCGGGGAGGCGUUACUCAAAGAAGAAGCACCGGCUAACUCCGUGCCAGCAGCCGCGGUAAUUC